GUGAGACAUAGCGCUCCAACCCUUGCGAAUCUACCAUUGCGGCGUUGUUUCGGCGGGUUUGCCAGUAUCUACUGGCAUACUGCCUGGCCAGCGGAGCCUGCCGACAGCGCCAAACUCUUUUUUUAGUGGAAGUCUUCUGAGUGGCAACCAAAAAAUAAGCA
rnacentral:misc_RNA from 1 species